AUGCGUCCUGGCAUAGUCUGGGUGCUGUUGCGAUCGCAGACAAAACGCAGUUCUGCCCAGGCUGAAUCGCACCAGAAACCUUGGGGCCAAGUCAGUCAGUCAGCACCGGACGGGGAAAACAGGGAGAUGUCUAAGUGGGAUCCACUGCUGCUUCCAUGGCUACAGGCAGUUGCUGUGGAUCCCUCAGAGUUAGUGCCAAGGAGGGGACAAGACCAAGUGAAAACAGGCCAAGAAGAAGAUCACAUCUUGUCAUGUUGUAUAGAGAGUUUUUGUGUUGGGGGGCUUCUAAGCUGCAGCCUGCUCCAACCACAGCAGAACGCUGCAGGUUAAUUCACUGUGUUGCAUCAGAGCUCUGCAAGGCAAAAACAUUAGAGGACAGGAAGAUCCCAAGUAGAGAUGCUUCAUGCUCUCAUUUUUGAGGACUUUUUUUAUUUUUGGCUCAUUCGCCACACACAAGAGCUCAAGUGGCUGUGCCAAAAGCACAGUACAGUAACCUCAGUGACCUGACCAUUAAUGCAUGACAGAUAGAGCUUUUGAUUUUAAUUCACAAAGUGGAUCAGUAUCAAUUAUGUUGACUUUGUACAAGUAAACAGUCAGUAAUUUUCUAUUCUGUUAACAUAAUAGUGAUUCAGCUUACAGGGUAACAUAUGCAUUUGACCUUCUUGCAGCAACAAAAACUAAUACCCAGGAGAGAAACAGGCUCGUUAGCAUAAGCAGUGAUAGUUGUUUUGACUGGAUUGGCAAAUAAAACAGUUUUCUCAACUAAACCUCUGCAUACCCUCUGAAUUGUAACGUGAAAAACACUAUAACAGCACUGUCGCUUGUUGUUGAGACACACAUAAUCAACAAAUGACAUUCAAUUUUAAAUCAUAUUUAUAUAACAUAGACAGACUGCAUUUGUUCUUAUAUGUAUUGUAAUUCACAGUGUUUUUUGCACAAUUUUUGAUAACAAUUUCACUUUUCAUGCUGAUGCUGAAACAUGUCCAGCAAGAGCUGUCUUAGCAGCCAGGAAAUUGAGCGUUUCAUCUUUCAGCGACUGGAAACGAUCCUCUAAUUACUGUAAUUGGCUGGUGAGGAAGGGCGGGUGUGGUGGUAUGGAGAAGCCACGGUGGCACCCUGAUCACCGGCCUCUGACUGUCCUCUGAGCAUCAUCGCUUCGACUGCUUUAUCACCUCCGACCACUCUAUCCUCCUGGAUUGUGUUUCACCAGUUUGCACCCCCCACUGAAGACCCCACAGGGAGGGUUUCUGCAUAUCUGCAUGAGCAGAAGACUUGCAGGUUGCAUUAAAAGUUUUAUUGCUGGAAGCGCUGGCAUAACACUAAUGUGGACUGAUAAAAUAUUGAGCACAGUAUUUUAAGGAGAAAUUACAUUUACCCCAAUGUUGUACCCAUAAUGAAUGGCUCAAAUUUGACCUUUAAGCUGAGCUCCUCAAUUAUUUUGAAGCUGGGGUUAAAGAGCAGUUAAAUCUUAUUGAUGAUUGAUUUUGUCCAUGCGCAGAGGGAUUUGGAGGGGAAACAUACCAAAUCCAACCCAUUAAUCAAUCACUUAAUCAAUAUGAAAUAAUUGCACAGCUGUGUCCCCUCACACUCUUAUGGUAGUAUUGUAAUGUAUACAGACCAAUACAGAAAGGGUCCUUACAGUCAUAGUCAAAACAGGAGGUAAAAUGAAAACAACUAUUUCUAUUGGUCUAUAUUUCUGUUAUUAGAGGAGCAUUGUGUAAGAUAUCACCAGAAGUGUAGUUUAAAACAUAAAAAAAAGAACAAUAUCAGCGAGUGUGAAGAAAGAACAGUGUUGAUGUUACGCCGAAGACGUCUACCAGACAGAAUGAGCUGGGGCCGGUUGUUUUGCGGAGGUAUCUAUCAAGGUUAGCAUGCUAACCAGCUAGCCCUGUCUCAUAAUACUACUUUGUAUUACCUUUCACAAGCUUUCUUAGCUUUCAGUGUAAUAAAGGAAAAUAUGUCCUUACCAUACAGAAAAAUACAACCAUACACCUUCUAAAUUCAAGUUUCUCUCUCUUUUAUUGAACUAACAUGAGUUUUAUUGCCUUGUUAACUCGUCAUUAAAACGCACCUAAUAAAACUCACCAAAACUGUGUUGGUUUGUAUUUCCACGAUUACCUCUGGUUUGGUUGAAAUAAAUCCUCAAUUCAUUGGGUAAAAUGUGUAAGUAUCUGGACUCUAGACUCUCUGAUAGCUAACGGUAGCCAGCUCCAGCAAAGGAUAGCUACCAAAGAGCACUCUGAUUAUAUGCUGCCCCCUAUGUUUUUGGAGCUAACUUAAAUUCAUAUUUAACAAAAUGCACUUUAAUUCUAGUAAUCUAUCAAUUGUUUUAUGAGCUGACUCAAUUGCUCACGUCCAUUUUGCCCCCUGCUACAGAUGCACUGUGGACCAGCUCUUUCCAACUGCUACCAGCACACAGAACACAGAAGACAUCAAAUUGAAGAAAAUCUCCAAGCUAAAAGUGUUUUCACUCAAAACUCCCUUUGAACCAAACCAAUUUGUUUCUUUAACUAAGACAUGGCAGUUUUCUAAGUAAGUGAGGUAGUGUGGAGGAGAGCUGACAGUGUAUGGUGCUGUCAGCCUGGCUUAGUGUCAGGGCCUGCUGAGCUGGUGUCACAGUGAGACUCCAGGGCAGGGCACCAGCAGAGCGGUGACACUCCCGGGACAUGCGACCUUUUCCCAACAGUCACCCUGGACUGCUCUCUCCACUGGCUUUCUCAGGAGUAGUCAUUUAGGUCUUAUUAACAAUCUUUCACAGAGUCGCGUACGAAGCCCUUCCGAUGCUCAAAAAAUCUAUUUAGUUUCAGUUCAUAAUUGAUAUACCCACAAUUUUUCAAUUACUGUUUUCCUACAUGUCUCUCAGAAACCUUCAGAGACUGGUGUGAACUCGCUAUAUUCGGCUGAGCUUUACACGUGUACAGCAGGCGGAGAGAGCAAUUACAUUUACUGGGGUGAGAGAUUUUUCAGCUGAGAAAAGCUGAGAGUAGCACCCCUUACUGAACACAAAAUGUCUUUUGGUUACAUUGCAUCAGGGUCUCCUGAGACCAAUGUCUGCAGAUAUUUUGGUAGCUUUAACACUUCCGUGAUGUAUUCCCCUCUGCAUGGCUGUUGAUUUUAGCAAAAUCUGCUUCUCUAGACAGCACUUACUUGUUCAGUCUGAGGGAUUCUCCUUUAUGGUCGAUGCUUGGUUGGAUGAAACGGUGUCUGAUAACCGACACGAUGUCAAUGUCGCUUUGUCUGGCCAAUGAAUAAUAUAAACGAUCACACGCUAUUUUUAUUGUCAGUCUGUUGGUCAGCCACUUUUGUCAUGACAGAAAACUCUUUGCAACUAUUGCUUUUUCCAUAGAUUUUGCAUGGACAUUCAGGGUCCCCAGAGUAUGAAUCUCUCUGACUUUGGUGAUUCCACAACUUUUCGUCUAGCCGCACCAGGAAUUUGACAUUUUUGUUUUUUAGGAAAAACAAAAUGACAGCUAUUGGAUGAUAUUUGGUACACAUAUUCAGGGUGCCCAGAUAAACCCCAGUAACUUUGGUGAUGCUCUGUGACAUAGAGUCACCAUGACAUUUGUGGUUAAAAUGUGUCAAGAGCCAUUGUAUAGAAAGGUAGAAGUGUUAAUGCCCCCUUCAUGGUGAAUUGUAAUCACUUUGGAGAUCCCGGAACUUUUCCCUUAACUUUGCAACUUUAAUUUAUCCCUUGAUUUGAUUUGUGAUUUGUGAUUUGUGACUGUUAAACUAAUAACAAUUCCAUCAGCCUUGAAGCUGUGUUACUUUUUUAGUAAAUAGUGAGCAACCCAUGUUAGUCCUCCCCCUGCUCAUGAAGUCAGCAUCCCAGCCCACUUUAUCCAAUCAGGAGAGAGAAUGCCAGCAAGAAGUGGUCUUGUCUGCUGAGGGAACACAUGUCACAUGUCACGUGUUUCAUGUGACUAAGCCUACAAUUAAAAAUAUCUUUUCCUACCUCAUAAAAUAUCAGGCUUUGAUCCUUUGUCUGCCUUGAAAAGAAGUGCGUGCAAGUGUGGUGACAUAGAGAGGAGCUUUAACUAUAUUUUGUAUUUAGUGGUAAAUAGUUUAUUUCAGCACGCCAACACGAUUAACCAAUAGGGUGAUCAAGGUAAACAGUACACCUAGUAAACAUUAUCUUAGCAUUGCCACUAUGAUUAUGUUAGCACACUGACAUUUAAUUUAAAGCACCACAUGCCUUGGUACAGCUACAACAUGUUUUUUUAUUUCUUCUAACGUUAUUCCCUACUCAGAAAUCUUACCGUUGUUGGUGGUUACACUUUAUCAUCUACUUGACUCAGUUAUUGAAUACAUGUAACUCUUUUGAGGUUUUCGAGAGAAUAUUGAGAGCUAUUUUAUCAAAAUCUGAUAACAGCAAAAUAAUAUUAUUACUAAUAAUGUCUACAUUUCAUUUCAAUUGUAUGUUCUGGCUAGAAUCUAUCUAUCUGAGGAUUAAAAAAGACCUUAUAAUCAGUAAUGCUGUUUUCUCUUACUAUAAUCAGAGGUCAAUUUUUGUGCUCCAUUUGUCUGUCUGGGUCCCCUGUGUUCCCUCCCGGCCUUUUUCUACUGGGAACAUCUAAUCAACUCCUGUGUAAUUGGAGCUGUGUUAAGAUGAUCUGCAGGAGUGGGACGUCGGCUCUAAUCACACACGCACACACACACUCAAUGUGAACUGUAGUGCUCUGGCACGAGCAAUUAUUACUUCAACACUGGUACGUUUGGUUACAAUAGAAAAAGGCAUGUCCAC
rnacentral:lncRNA from 1 species